UUUAGUGAACUAUUAUGUUCGAUCUAUACUUUUAGAGAUUUGAAACGGUUUUAUAUUUAACAAAUGUAGAGCCGGUUCUUCAGGAAAUUAAGCCCGAAUGGCCGCAUCUGGUACACUCUAAACGGUGCAAAACUAUUCAUUUGUUAUGUUGAAUAUCAGAUCUUAAUGAAUAAUGCAAAAAUAAAAUGAAUGCCAUUGGAAAUAAAUAAAGAUAACUUGGCAUGUCCUAAAAAUCGCGUUUUUCUACCCGACUUGACCCAGUGACUCACCACAAUAACUCCAUCUACAAAUGUACUCCCGAGUUCCUCCGGCCAUUUCUAGAAACUAGAUAUGUGGGCCAGUAUACUGACAAAAAAUUAUUUGAAUCCGUUAAGUAUUCGCUGGGUGGUAAGGGUUUUAGUAUUUUUGCUUUCACUCAGGCCUAUACGGGUUAAAACCCAUACCCUAAAAAAAUCCAACCAAACCACAGAGAUCUUAACAAUACAAUAAAUGGUUCAAUGGUGUUGCAUCUUCAUAAACGUGCGUAGGAUAGACCAAAACGUCGUGUGUUGGCUGUUGCAGUGUGUACACGCCUAUGUGAUUCUAUCCGUUUACUUGGUGAAAGUAGCGAACAACACGUUGAUAACGUUUUGAAAGAAAAACGAUAUGAGAGAGAUGAUACUAACACGAGCAGUUUACUGUCUAAAAUUUGUUUACGAAUAUAAAGAAAAGGCUUGAACCUUUAUUCAAGUGAUGGGCAGAGUUAUUGUUCUAUGCAAAAUAAAUUAAGAUAGGCAAUUUUACUCGUCCUUUUGGAAGAAACUCCAUCAUUUCGCUAAUAUCUUCAGUUACUUGAGGGUAAUAUAAACGUAAUAUAUUUGCUAUGGAUACGAUGUACUGUCACUAUAUCAACAGUCUGACGAAUAGAAAAUCCCAAGAACAUGAACUACUCACUAAAAUCAGUGGAAACUCACAAAAAGUUCAAGCCAACGCGACCCUUCUUGUUAGCCCAAUGAAAACAAACAUUUUUUUUUCAUAAUCAUUCAAUGAUUAUCUAAAAGGUUCAAUUCACUCUCAAACUGUCAUGUUCGAUUAGCUUUCCAUGAGUCGAUGGUCCUUUCAGAUAUCGACUCAUGGAGGUUUGAUAAUAGAACAAAAUUAUUCUCAAAAGCUGUGUAAGAACUCAGUCUGAUGUACCCACGAUGAAGACACUAGCGCCGCCAAGCAGCUUGUUGCAUCAGUCAGUGGUGAAUAUAAAUUGUAUCCUCCUCCUGCAACUCGGCCCAUAACCUCUAGCACUAAACCUGAUCUAAGACAUUUCACCUCCAAGGGUUUUGUCUGUACAAUGAACAACGUCGGGAGAGGCCGAAAGUAGUGCACUGCACUAAACUUCGGUUAUGUGGUGCAGCACUCUAAUUCCAACAACAUGGUUGGCAAAUAAGCAGCAUUUUUCGGAUUUGCGUUUAGUGCUAGAACACCAAUAAAUCACUUGAAUAAAUUUCGACAUUAAAAAAAAGAACAGCCACUUACAAAAAGCCACUAUUGAACCACAACCUCUAACUUUAAAUGUAGCCAAGAACCUAUACGUUGUACAUUAUCUCCUCGUCCUACUAUUCCUCUCGAAAAUGCCCCUCCGACAAGUAAUCCAUUCUCCUCCCGUGCACUACCGUAAUCACGAAAUAAUGCUUGAAUCGAAUUAUAACAGAAAACCAAAACACACACAAAUAUGAAAAGACGUUCAUUGUUUGACUAUUGCUAUUGUUUCUCUAUUUUUUGUAUAACCGCAGUUAUCUAAUAACUAAAAAAAACUUAUAAGAAAUAGUUAAAAUAUAUAUUAAGACAAGAUACACAGCUACGCAUCUCAUAUCGGCAGCUAGGUAAGAAAAAGUAAAAUAAAUAGAUAAACAAAAAUCUAACAAAAAAUAAACACUGCAAUAUCGAUUCUCAAUGUGAAAUUAACAAAACUUCAGAUCGAAUAGCUGUUUUUGAACGAAAGAUAAAGCAAGAUUGUACUUGAAAAACAAAUUCAUGCAAGAAAUAUUAACCAAAAGUAUCCACCAAGAAAAAGCAAACCGAAAUAUAGAAGAAACAAAACACACGCUCUCUUUCCCUCUUUGCAAGCUACUGGGUUGUACAACCCUUUAGAGUAAAAAAAAAAACAAAUAAUAGAAGAACGACAGUGGCCGGUCACGCUGUACUUGUUUCUCUCAAAAUUCAUCUCAAAAUUAAAAACGGUAUGGACCAUUUAGAAAACACACAUACAAAAAAGACAAAGUAUGUUUGGCUGAAGAAGAUUAACGAAUUGGAAACACAAAAACACACACACAUACACCGAGUCGAAUUGUGCUUGUGGCCGGAGUAGAUAGAUUCACUCCCUGUCACACUGACUCACGCAAAUGAGGAGGAAGAGAUUGUAGUAAAUGAGCAUAUAAGUAUAUUAAUAAAACAUUAAAUGAAAAAAGAGAUACUUUUUAGUAGAAUUUUAUUAUAAUUUUAGAACAAUUUUUUCACAGAAAAAGUAUUGAAAAAAAAUGACGAAAAAAAUUAAGUAAACAAAGUAAUAAGAUUAUAAAUAAAAACAAAAGUAAAGUAAUGAACUUUAGGUGAAUGGAAUGUUUUUUAUACUUGUAGCUGAAAUUUUUUAAAAUCAGAAAUGCAAAAAAUGUGAAAAUACUAAUUUUUGAGACAACAAAUAUUACCAAAAAAUAAUUAUAUGAAAAAGUAUAUAUUAUACCAUUGAAGACAUCACGGACGAAAAAUGCGACGUUAGAAGGAGGAAAUUUUCGGCUCUAUAAAAAAAACUCUUUCCAAUUGUCCCUCUUUUGUGCAAAGAUAAAAUGCAAACAUGAAAAAAAGAAUAACACCCCUUCACUCUCUGCCAUGGGCGCGAAUCACGUGCCUCCUCUAGUUUGUUUCGCCGUUCUUCUCUAGCGUUUGUGUUUUGUUAACUAUUUUUUACUGUGUUCCAAUUGAAAUGCUAGCGAAAUAAUUGUUUUUAAACUAAUUUUAGCAAAAGCAUAAAACCAAAACGGCCAUACGUGUCGAUCGUUGUCGUUAUCAAUCUGAAUAGUAUUAGUUCGAACAGGUCUAAACGCGCUAUUACCACAUUGAAAAUGUACUAGCAAAAUAUACAAAUACAUAUUAUUAUUCUUGUUUAUAAAUAUCGAUUUUUUCUAGAACUUUUUUGUCCGCGGUAGCCAAAGUAAGUGUUUUGUUUAUGUAGAGCAAAUUUUUACUUGUAAGAUCGCGUAGGAUCAGAUUUCUGGUUAAGUUUUCCGAUUCCGCAAAAUUCUCGACCGACUUUUUUCACUAUCCGACCGUCAACCACACACACUGAUACAUCCAAAAACAAUAAUAUAAACGUACACACAGACACAUCCUCGAGUCGGUUAGAAUAUUUUCCACUGAGUAAUUGAGAAUGUAAAACUCAACAACCGGAAAGUAAACAGAAGAAAAAAAUAUGUGAGAAAACUGUUUUUGUACCAUUUUGGUAGCGAAUAUGUAGUACGAUUUUUUAGAAUCAUCAACAAAAAAGCAACUUUAAACAGAAAAAAAAUCCGCGUAAUGAUGCGGGAGGAAGAAUAUAAAAAAAUAAUAAAAAGUCUUUGAGUAGUUUUUAAACGAGAAAUUAUUAAAUGAAAAUCAGAAAAACAAAGUACACGGACUCACUCACACAUACACUGAUACAAGAAGAACAAAGAUGGCGCGUAUCGUGUGGGUGCGUGAAAAAAAUAAAUAAAUAGAUGACGGUGAAGAGGAAAACAGACACACAGAAGUAGUUCAACGUAGAGAAGAAAAAAAAACUCUUGUAUUCCUAUAUUGUAGUUUAAUUUUUUAUCUAUUUUUUACUGAAUCAAAAAAGAAUGAAUAAUAAAGAAAACGUAUUUUUAA